GUUUAAAUAGCUUAUAUAGAGCAUGAUAUUGAAGAUAUCAAGGAAACAUUUGUUUUUAAGCA
rnacentral:tRNA from 1 species